AGCGAACGCUGGCGGCAGGCUUAACACAUGCAAGUCGAGCGGGCACUUUCGGGUGUCAGCGGCGGACGGGUGAGUAACGCGUGGGAACGUGCCCUCUGGUUCGGAAUAACACAGGGAAACUUGAGCUAAUACCGGAUACGCCCUUUUGGGGAAAGGCUUGCUGCCGGAGGAUCGGCCCGCGUCUGAUUAGCUAGUUGGUGAGGUAACGGCUCACCAAGGCGACGAUCAGUAGCUGGUCUGAGAGGAUGAUCAGCCACACUGGGACUGAGACACGGCCCAGACUCCUACGGGAGGCAGCAGUGGGGAAUAUUGGACAAUGGGCGCAAGCCUGAUCCAGCCAUGCCGCGUGAGUGAUGAAGGCCUUAGGGUUGUAAAGCUCUUUUAUCCGGGACGAUAAUGACGGUACCGGAGGAAUAAGCCCCGGCUAACUUCGUG
rnacentral:rRNA from 1 species